rnacentral:rRNA from 1 species
GAUCCUGGCUCAGAUUGAACGCUGGCGGCAUGCCUUACACAUGCAAGUCGAACGGCAGCAUGGAGAGCUUGCUCUCUGAUGGCGAGUGGCGAACGGGUGAGUAAUACAUCGGAACGUGUCCGUUUGUGGGGGACAACCGUCCGAAAGGAUGGCUAAUACCGCAUAAGACCUGGGGGUGAAAGCCGGGGACCGCAAGGCCCGGCGCAGACGGAGCGGCCGAUGAUUGAUUAGCUAGG